rnacentral:lncRNA from 1 species
CUCUGAUAGGGACAGGUGUCCAAAUAGAGAAUACCAUGUUCGUGUCCACAGUCCUGCCCCUGAUAAGUCAGGUAUUCCAAGCAGCCAGCCUUCUCCUCCAGAGCAGGACAAGGUUCCCCAGCAUUUGUAGGUUCCUGUUGUACAUAGCGCCUACGUAUUCGCAGACUGGGUUUACAUUGUUCAGCGCAGCCACUCCAAUGACUCCACUCCCCCACGAUGCAUGGAUGAGCUGAAAAGCAGUAAUAAACACAUCACUAAUAGUUAAGACUUCUGUUUGAUCCUAAUUGCUCUCCAAAUCUUAAAUAGUAAGACAACGCCGUGUUUUUUUCUUUCUUACUCUCAAAACAAUGCAGUGAUGUGUGUAUUGCAUUUCUGUGUUUGCGUACAUACAGAUGCAGAUAAUGAAACGUAAUAAAUAAAAUAUUUAGAAAUGUAACCUCAAGAUCCUGUUCUUCUGAUUCCCAAUUAGAGAACAGUCUACUGCAUAUCUGAAUUCCAGUCCUCAUGGAUCACAGACUUUCUGUGAACUUGACCCAAAUGUGUUCCAAAGUGUUAUGGGGAAACUGCCAUUAUUUUGAAAGAGAACUCUGAACCACAAGAAACUGCAAUUCCCUCAGGCAGAGCAUCAGAAGCACAGUUUGUGAUGCCUGCCACCUGCUGCAGCACAAGUGAAGGGAGCAGCUUCCCAAUCGCAGCUCUCCUCAGCCCACCGCACAGCCCAAGGCCAUGGAGGUGCCAUUGGACUGGAUCUGCCCCAUCUAUAGGCACAGACCCAUAGAUGCAGCCUAUGUGACCCCUGUUUCAAGAGGCUUUGCUAUGGCUGUGAGCUCUGGUAGAAAAAGAAACUGAGCUGUGCCAUAUGUAGGCACCAGAUAAGGGCCACCCAAUAUUCGGUAAGGUCGGACAAUGAUUACAUUGAGUGUCCUGUCCUGCAGCCUGCAACACACUCUAUGUCAUUGAUAAAGAUGUUAAAGUGUACCAGUACUAAGACAGACUCCUGGGGUACACCAUAUGUCAUCCACCUCUAUCUUGACUUAGAGCCAUUGACCACAGCCCUCUGGCUGCAACCAUCCAACAAAUUAUUUAUCCACUGAAUAGUCCAUUCUUCAAAUUCAUCUCUCUCUAAUUUAUUGACAAGGAUGUGGUGUCGGACCAUGUCAAAGGCCUUGCAGAAAUCCACGCAGAUAACAUCAGUUGCCCUUCCAUUGUCCACUAAUGCCACUGCUUCAUCAUAGAAUGCCACCAGACUGGUCAAGCAUGUAGGGACAGGAUCAGAGGAAAUGGCUUUAAACUGGAAGAAGGUAGAUUUAGACUAGAUAUCAGGAAGAAAAUCUUUACUGUGAGGGUGGUGAGAUACUGGAACAGGUUGCCUAGUGAGGUUGUGGAUGUCCUCUUCCUGGAAGCAUUAAAGGCCAGGCUGCAUGGGGCUCAGAGCAACCUGGUCCAGAGGGAGGUGUCCCUGCCUAUAGCAGGGGGUUGGAGCUAGAUCACCAUAAGGUCCCUUCCAACCCAAACUAUUC